UGGGGAAUAUUGCACAAUGGGCGCAAGCCUGAUGCAGCCAUGCCGCGUGUAUGAAGAAGGCCUUCGGGUUGUAAAGUACUUUCAGCGGGGAGGAAGGGAGUAAAGUUAAUACCUUUGCUCAUUGACGUUACCCGCAGAAGAAGCACCGGCUAACUCCGUGCCAGCAGCCGCGGUAAUACGGAGGGUGCAAGCGUUAAUCGGAAUUACUGGGCGUAAAGCGCACGCAGGCGGUUUGUUAAUUCAGAUGUGAAAUCCCCGGGCUCAACCUGGGAACUGCAUCUGAUACUGGCAAGCUUGAGUCUCGUAGAGGGGGGUAGAAUUCCAGGUGUAGCGGUGAAAUGCGUAGAGAUCUGGAGGAAUACCGGUGGCGAAGGCGGCCCCCUGGACGAAGACUGACGCUCAGGUGCGAAAGCGUGGGGAGCAAACA
rnacentral:rRNA from 1 species